rnacentral:ncRNA from 1 species
GAGCAAAACAGGAAGUGCAGAAGGAAAAUAAAGGAAGCAGAAUAUGAAGACCUUGUUUCUAGCUUCAGCUAAACACUACUACUGGUAUCAUUCCUUUACUAAUUCAGAGGAUCAGGAACGAAAUGAUAUUUUGGUAUAAAGUGCAUGCCAGUAUACAAGGUCUAACGACGUUUGUGUCAGUGUCAUGGCUACGUGGUGCAGACUACAGUGUUUGAGUCUUGAUGUGAUACACGGCCCGUUUUGAUGACCAUAUUAGUUGUGGAGUUUGAAUGAGGCGAUACAUCCGUAAAAUGGUAACGCGAUUGCCAUAUANNNNNNNNNNCCGGUAUAGAAACCUGAAGUAGGGUAAACCAGCAAAAGUUUAUUUGUUUUUGGUUUUCAAUACGAAUACAGACCAUGAAAGUGUGGCCUAUCGAUCCUUUUGAGUACUGUUUUCAGAAUUUUAAGACAAAGGUGUCAGAAAAGUUAAC